UAGUUCUGUUCCUUGGAUAGGUUUUCCACA
rnacentral:piRNA from 1 species